UACUAGAAUGAUCCACUAACAACUCUUUUGCUGGACUGACUAUUUGCAGGUCUUCGUUAAUUUAUGCCAGAACUCACCGUGUACGAAUAACAGAUAAAAGGUGCAUCAAUAGACAAACUUGCAAUCUUCUGAUUUUAGGGAGUGAGUGGUUGCCACUUAUAUUUACCACUUGGUUUCUUCCACUCCCAAGUUACUAGAGUUAGCUUCCGACAUACAUAUCUUUGGCCAUUUCUGAAUAUCCCAAAAACAAUCCAUGAUCUUUUAGCCACAUUGAACAAUUUAAAACUAGUUGAUCAUCAUAACCUAAACCACAAUUCACAUGGAUCUUUAAUGUGAGACUUUGUUUUUUUCCAUCGCUUGAUAGAAAUUUGUAGCUUGUUUUGUUCAGCAUAUUAGUAUGAAGUUUCUGCAAAUUUACAGCAAGAAACAGGGUGGAAGCAGGCUAGCAGCCAAAAGGGAGAUCACAAAAAACUAUGGAACAUGAGCAGCCAUAAAGAAAUUGGUCAAGCUGUAGACAAAAUUUUGUGUACUCGAGAUGAGUCAGCAAGAAUCAGAGAUUAAGGUUACAACACCUGAUUCACAUCAGGAAGGAGCAGGGAUAUUCAAUUCCGAUAGGGAAUAUAAGUUGUGAACAUAUGUUUAGUGGUGGAAGAGACGAGCAAUAACCAGGGAAAUAGCAAACGAGUCCAAGAUGAUCAGAUUACCUGAAGUACAGAGAGCUGCUCAGAAAGCUUACGAUGUGGAAAGGGAUGAUGAGAUUGUACUUUAGCAGCGGCCAACCAAGCAGCCAAUGCAGCUAGAGUUACUGCUGUGAAGGGUUGAUCCACAGUCACUUGAAUGACUUUACAUAAAUAAAUUGGUCGUCCAGACUUGCAACUUCGUCGGAAUCUUUAAGCAGAGCCACUGUCUAUAUAUCAGCUAUGGCUUUUAUGAGUAAUGUGGCCCUCAAAUGUGCUUUAAACGUUCACGUUUUUCUUCUGCAAACUCACCUAAGCAAGAAAUGGAAUUGCUUAACACACAUCUGCUUUUUUUUUUUUCUUUCUGAAAAUAAACAUAUAUGCCUUGCUGCGUAAAUCGUUUAGAUUUCUUUGUUUUUGUUAAUUGAUUGUGGAUCAUGUUCUUCUAUGCAAAUGCCCUCAAAAUUGGUCCAUCUGGUGCUAUAGCCUUCUUUGCCUUGAUUUUUCUGAUUUUUCGUGGAAGAGUAGAUGGAUGAUGUUGAUGCAAAAAUGGAACCAGAGUGAUAAUCCAGCUGAUUGCAUUAGUUUAGAGGAAUGCGUGGAAUUUUUAAGACAAAGUCUAGUCCUCAUGUUAUUGUAUCUAAAGUUU